rnacentral:misc_RNA from 1 species
GUGAAUCAUCGAAUUUUUGAACGCAAAUUGCACUCUCUGCUGCUCCGGAGAGUAUGCCUGUUUGGUGUUCAGGUUACGUAAAGUUCGGUGUGGUUGCUGCCUUUCUUUGUGACGCACCGGGUUUGGGUCGUCUUGCCUUUGGUUAAGUGACCUAAAAUUUUCCAUGAUUUUUUUCGAACGUAUUUAAAUGGUUUUACGUACGUUUGCGAGAUCUACUACUAGGUGUGGUCAUCCUCAUUUUUCGCGCCUAUAA